UACGGAGGAUGCGAGCGUUAUCCGGAUUUAUUGGGUUUAAAGGGUGCGCAGGCUGCCUGUUAAGUCAGCGGUGAAAUGUCCCGGCUCAACCGGGGCACUGCCGUUGAUACUGGCAGGCUCGAGUGCGGACGGCGCCGGCGGAAUGUGUCAUGUAGCGGUGAAAUGCUUAGAUAUGCCACAGAACACCGAUCGCGAAGGCAGCUGGCGAGGCCGUGACUGACGCUCAGGCACGAAAGCGUGGGGAU
rnacentral:rRNA from 1 species